GCGGGUGCGCAGCGAGCGGACUCAAAACAAACAUGGCGCUCGGUGCUGGCGUGAAGCGUCAUUUUCCGAUGCGCAAAGUGGACGACGUUGUCGAGUUCUUUCGAGCGCAGCUCGAGAGCGACAACGAGCCGGACCUGGCGCUGCUGUCCAUCGUGAUCGGGUACAUCGAGAACCUGCUGACAUUCCACCGCAACGUCGAACCGGCAUCGGGCGGCGAUCCGCGGCAGCCGUGUUUCCCCUCUGUCGAGAUCGGUCCCAUUGAAGCCCUACACGCUAAGUUCGCCUGUCAGAUCAAGGGAUCGCUCGACCUAAGCGCCAUCGAGACGGACUCGCCCGCCGGCAUGCGUGAUCUCAUCAAGCGUGUGUCUGACGCUAUCUGGUCCUCGCUUACGAGGAGUUACUACAAGGAUCGGCCUCACCUCCAGUCUCUCUACAGUUAUCUCACCGGGAACAAGCUGGACUGCUUCGGCGUGGCCUUUGCUGUGGUCGCUGCGUGCCAGACAUUGGGGUUUCCAGAUGUUCACCUGGCCUUGUCGGAGGACCACGCAUGGGUCAUCUUCGAAGAGCGUGAAGAGACCGCCGAGGUGACCUGGCACGGCAAAGGCAAUGAGGACAGGCGAGGCCAGCCCAUACCGCAGGACAAGAGCUGGUUGUACCUCAACGGCCAUGCCAUCCCGUGCACGCGGGCGACCGAGGUGGCCGCGCUCGUCUCCGCCAUCAACCCCACCAUCACGGCCACUACGGACAGUACGGAGCUUGUCAACCUCCAACAGCAACUUCUCUGGCUGCUGUACGACAAGGGCCACCUCAGGAAUUACCCGAUGGCACUGGGGAACCUCGGAGAGCUGGAAGGCCUGUUUCCGACACCGGGGCGACCGCCACCGCAAGACCUGUUCGCAGAGGCAGUCCACGCGUCGCGCACGUACUAUCAGAACCAUCACGUCUACCCUUACACCUACCUGGGCGGGUUCCUAUUCCGCAGCGGCCGCCUCAAGGAGGCGUUACGGGCAUGGGCGGAUGCUGCUGACGUUAUUCGAAAAUUCAACUACGGUCGUGAGGAUGAGGAGAUCUACAAGGAGUUCAUGGAGAUUGCCAACGAGCUGGUGCCGCAGCUGGUCAAACUGAGCAGCACAGGGGAUGGCUCACUCCUACAGGAUCCAACCUGCUUCGCACACCUGCUGCGCUUCUACGAUGGCCUGUGCGCCUGGGAAGAAGGUUCAGCCACGCCCGUGCUUCACAUUGGAUGGGCGCGACCACUCGUCGGGACCAUUGCCAAGUUUCCGGCGUCGGUGAGGUCGGCGGUGUCGGUGCACGCCUCGACGGGGGAUGAGGAGGAAGAGGCUGAGCAGAAGAACCACAAAGACGCGCCGCCUUCGGUCUCCAAAGAAGACUCCAAGAAGGGCAGCGAGACGUCGUCACAGGAUAGCCUUAUGGCUGACGGAAAAAUGCCCAAAGAGGAGGACUUUCUCAAGAGCAUGGAGAACCAGCUGGGGCAGAGCAACGGCCCACCGCAUCCGGACAUCGUAGCCCUGGCUGCGGCGGUGCGCGGAGAACAUCCUCAACCCCGACUACCUCUUGGGCUGCGGGGAGCCCUUCUCAACCAAAAACGGCAACAACGGGCUAUCUGCCCUGAAGGCUUCAGAGUCGGACUUUAUGGUCGGCGACCUCUUUGACCCCAAGGUCAAUGGCCAUGCGUGCCCUGAUGACCUCAUUCGGGCCGUGCAGCAGGAGGCCAACAACAACAACAGCAGCUUCAGCUUCGAUGAUGACGACCUAGAUCUGGACGAUACGAAGGCAGCUUUGUCUGCAAAGCCAGAGAAGUCGGGCAGCCGGAGUAGCGGUGACAAUGGCGUGGCAACCGUCACGCUGUCGAGUCAAAAGAUGGCGGGCCUCAAGGACCUCCUCCUCGCGGAGAAACUGAACACCUCGGCAAUCCAGCUGCAGCUCACGGCUCAAUCGCAGGUCCAAGUGGUCAAGCGGGGCCAAUCCAAUCCGGCCGGCGGACCCCACGAGCCCACGACGCGACACUCCAAGAGGACGCGCAGAGAAUGAGAAGCCCGAAUGUCAGACUUCGCUAUUGCUGCUGAAGCCCUCCCCAUUGUCUUGGUUCUUCACUGCUAAGCGACAACUCUUCGUCUGUUUGCACUCAACGCCAUCUGCAGACACGUUCGCAAUCCCGUUGGUUUUUAACGGCGCAGUGCCCUACCUGAAAUUGCGAAAGCUCUUUGGCUUGGCAUUUCUCGCUGUGGCUCCUCAGUACUGUGGCACUCGUUCCCCAUUUGCUGCUGCCCUAUGUGGCCUGUGGGCCGCCCUAUGUGGCCUGCGGGUCACCCUGUGUGGCCUGCGGGUCACCCUGUGUGGCCUGCGGGUCGCCUUUGCUUGAAAUGCUCGAUCACAUUGGUGCGCAAGCGCAGGUGGCGCCAUGUUUUGAGAUGUGUUGUCGCUGCAGUGUGUGAAAUGUUUUAGAUCGAUUUGUUAGGUCAGCAAUUGUGGAAUUGUAUUUUUUUUUGUGUGUUGAUGGGGUCUUGCGCCACAGCGUGAACCUUGUGGUAUUGUUGGUUGCACCAACACUUUGUUUUGUGUUGGUUAAUGUUGUUUAAAGGUUGGAAAGAGAGGGUGUUUUCGUUCCCCUUCCCAUUUUAUUUUUAUUGUCAUUCUUUUUUUUGCAUGUACAGACCGCAGGUUCAACCGUAUUUGAACUUCAUCAGGGGCGGCACCUUGAACAACGUUGAAGAGGCCCCCCAAUUCACGCACUGUUGUAGUAUACACAUCUUUUUGUUGAACCGAGACGUGGGUGUUAUUUAAGCGUUCUUUUGUCAAACGUGAAUGCCCGGUACGAAGCUUUAAGCCAUUUUUAGAUUCCCCCCCCCCCUUCAUUCCGUUUACGUCGCACAUAUGUAGUCAGCUCCACAUUUAGAGAGCACCGCAGCAGCCAGUUCUGCAUCCCUAGGAUUUAUUCCUCGUGCGUUACUCAGGUGCGCUUUGCCUCGCGUCAUUUUGAAUGCUGGACGCACAAGACUGGGGAGGGGCACUGCUUACGACAUUUCCCAGAAUUCGGCAGCAUGCAGGCUGCGUAGAGCACAGCCUACGGUGUAGUGCUAGAGCUCAGCCUACGAUGUAGUGCGAUUCCUGCACUACUGUUAUCGAUAGCACUGAGUGCUUAUAAAGCAUUCAUUGCUCCUUAUCUAUGUCACAUGGCUUGCAUUUGCGAAAGCUUUAUUGCCUAUAAGAAACUGAAUGGUAAGCCCCAAGGUUGUACGGAGAUGCACGUUUUUAUUCUCGAGACUUGGUAAAAGAAGAGUUUUGGGCUUGCCACUGUUUUGGUAUCACCUAAACCUUGGACGUUUGUAUCUCACAGCUCGCCUCAGUCCAUGAAACAACCUGCGUUGUUGUCUGUAAAAUCUGCAGCAGUCUGAUGCGUUUCGUAAAACGUUUGCUUACGUGAACAUUGUACGUCAACGUUGUACAUUCACCUACAACGUGAACAUUUCAUACAAGGUUCACGUACAACAGUGGUCUUUCGUUAAUGGCGUAGAGCCAGUUAGUAAAGGUAAUAAGCAUAUAUUAAACUAUGCGAAAGAAAGAAAUGCAACGUUGUUACAAGGGCAUGGAGAAGACGAAGCGGUUGUUCAGAGAAAAACACGGGUCACUGUACAGGAAUUGCCUUUGCAAUAGGCACACGCUAGAUGCGGCGGAUACGCGUUUGAAGAGAGAGAUGAUGAGGUUGCGCUGCUUGUAUGCAGCUGUUUGCAACUUUAUUCCUCAUCAACCUCGCGGAGCUUAGCCUUGUGACAACACGCGCAGUGACAAGUCAGAUGUCACGGUAUACAUGUGAGGUUUAUGUGUGUGUAUAUAUGUACAUAACUUGUGGUCUUAUCUUUGGUUGACUUCUAGUCGAGCAUGGUCAUUUUGCGCGUUUUCGUGCGUGGGUAAUUUAAUUCCGUCUCAAAUUUUUUUUCUUUCUCGGGAGAAGCUAAAUGAUUUUUACACCUCGUUUUCGGGUAUGAUGAGCCUUCUUUGUUUUCUUUUCUCGAAUAUGUAAAGCUGCUAUGGUUUAGUACAGGCUUGGGAACGUUUGUUUCGAUGUUUUUCUUAAGUUCCUCGAGUUUAUUCUUGCGUCAAUUUAGAAAAGAAAAUUUUACAACGUUAUGAAGCACCUGUGGUAGUUUUGGUGAUGGGAGCACUCGCACGCUGUUUCUUUGAUGUAGUUGUAUCGCAGUUUGCACCAACAUUCACAUCUCGAGACAUAUUUAUAUUGGGCACUGUAUUUUAGGAGCGCUCAUUCUUUUCUUGAUCUAAUACCAUGGAGAUCUAACUUUUCUCUAUCGCUAUCUCCCACGUUGGCAUCUGGCUUGCGUUGUGCUGGUAACGCUUGCAUUUGACUUUUACAUUUGGUCAGGCUAUGGUCAGUGCUUGUGGUAAGAAAGGCAUAACACACCUACCAGACCACUUUUCUUUCAUGUGCUAGGGAAUUUAAAAUAAUGUAAGGAUUCAUACUAUUUUGCGCUAUGAACAUGAGAUUGAGGAAUGAAGCACACUAAUGAAUUUAACGAAGCGUAGGCUUCUUUCUGCUUUAAUCUCCAAUGCGUGCACACUAUGUGGUGAUAACUGUGAGACGACAGCUUAAAGGGACCGACAACUGAGCACAACGUGUGAUUAGAUCCUGGUAGAAAUGAAAAGACCGGGAAAUAUAGUGACAGAUUCCAGCAUCCUUUUCGCGUUGUGAGUAGGAUUUAUAUUUUUAAAUUGUGCUUAAAGGUAACACAAACCUGUAGGUUGUGCAGCCUAGCGGAAGAGCCUUGAAGCUGGAUUAUGAAGUCAGUAACUUUGAUGUAGUCACUUAGUCUGAUGCUGUCAUGCGCGCCAUAAUUGGUCCUCAAAGUUAGAGUAUGUAUAUUAUUAUCUAUCCCCGCUCUGUUCUCUACUGCCUAUGAGGUAAGAGGAGUUGCAGAGUGAGAAGCGGCGCUGCCUUCGCGGCUGCCAGUGGCCCCGGUCGAGCCGCAGCGCAUGCGCAUGGAGUGCACGCAUGCGCAGUAAACUGCCACUCGAACACGAACCGCUCUCGCGCUCAUUGUUUGCAGCAUGUGUUGUGAAGUGUGUAUAAGACUUCAUAUUCGGCACAGAUAGAAAAAUUCGUAUUAAAAAUGUUUCGCGGCAUUUUCCCCGUUUCCAUUCCGUGGCUAGACACUCUGACCAGUUAGCUUUUUGUUGCGCUAAAGAAAAUAGGUGCCCUAAAAAGUGGUUGUCAGUCCCUUUAAGGGUGUAAAAAAAAAAUCUUUUUAAAUGGGGAAAGUAGUAGAUAGGUGCACAUUAACGGAGUGCCCGAAAGCUCACUUGGUGUAGUUAAGGCUUAAAGGGACACUAAAGAGAAACAGGAAGUUCAGUUGGAAUGAAAGAAGGGCCUUAAGGAAUGCAUACAGCUUUUGUCCAGUGCAAAAAUACGACAUUAGUUGAGAAAUUCGUAACCAACGACCAAUUAUGUCUUCAAUUUAUCUCGGUGCAAAUUCGGCGUUAAACCAAUGUUGCUGCAGGCUUCAUUGCCUUAAAUGAAUUGGAGAUUGCCACAAUAAUUUGGCCACUGCUUCCGCGUUCGCUGCGAUUGAUGUUGUUGCCAAUGCCGAACCUUGCAAUGAAGAUCUUUCCAGGGAUGCAGGAUUGCGUUUUCGCGGCUUCAGCCAAACGGAGCACAAAAUGAUGAUUGAUGCUUGCGUUGCAGGAGUUUCUGGUACCACAGCAAGGUGCCUGUAACACCGCCGGAAAGUGAAGCCUCGCGUCUUUUUGCAGAAGGCAAGGUGUCCGAUUGUCAAUUGCAGUUCUUGUAUGCUGUAUUUCAUUUUGCGUUUUUAUAACAACGAUGAAUAGCUCUUGACUAAUUGCAGCGGUGCUGCGUUUGCUAUCUUCGACACCGCAAACAUCUAGUGCGGGAUAUUUGAAGUCGUAUGAGCACCUACCUCUCAUUUUUUUAAAAUUAUUUAUUUUAUUAAGAACGGCACGACUGUGAUUUUAAUGGGAUAAUUUACCAUUAAAGUGCAAAAGAGAAAGUUCCUGUUUCUUUUUAGUGCUCCUUAAGACCUGUGACUUAUGUCAAUUGCAUUUCCAAAGAAUCUUAUAGGGUAGUCACUUUUAUCUCUGCAGAAAUGUCACUGCAAAAGUUAGACAAGUGGCAGGAACCUUGACGUAAAAAAAUGCUUUCAGAUGAAGCAGUGAAAUUGUGAUAAACUUUACGGAACUAAAAAAAAACCCACCAGUAUAGGUAUAACCCAUCUAUUUAACAGUAGACAAUUACGAACCAGAAUAUUUGAGACCACAUUGAACGUACAUGCCGUUUGAGUUCAGUGGCAACAAAGAGUAUUUAUCUUGAGCGAUUGGCGACCAUGGCAGAAUCGCAAUAUGUGGUACUGCUGCAAAGGACAAACACCAAGAGUGCUGGACUGUUGUCGUGUUAGAAGUGUAGGGGAAGGUUGGUAGUUAAAGGGACACUAAGCUCGAAUAAAAAUUUAUGUCAGAAUGAAAGGUCAGUGUUUGGCAAUGUCUAAUACGUCAUUAUUAUCAAUAGCAGUGCUCUAGUAAUUGACAAAUUAAGGUAAAUGUAGGACACUAUAUGCGCCACCAGUGGGACGUUUUGGGAUGAGCCCGAUGACGUCAAGAGUCCUUAGUAUAAAUUAUCAGUAGUAUUCAAGCUACUUAUAGUAAAAAAAAAACAUCCCGAGCAUUGCAAGACGUAAUGAAAUGCUGCUUGUACAUGGAAAAAGCUUGAUGUUACAGUGGAGAACGGCACGGUUAGUGCAGAAGUUCCAUUUUCGCCGGGCUUCGCUCCGCUCACAUGGUCGUGUUUCAAUGGUAGUUUUGUUAUCGUGUACUGCUGCAUGUGCCUUGCACGCUCACGAAAGUCGCUUUAGCGGAAACUUCAACAAAAUGCCAUGUCCAUGUGAUAUUGUGUAAUGUGCCCUUCAGGGCAGAAGCCACAGCGUCGGCUGCUGGGCAGUAAAGGCAGGCAACAUUGGACAAGGCAAAUGCCACGUCAGGAGGCCUUUUCAGGCACGCGAUUUGAAGUGCGUUAACGCCGUGUGGACCACUGAAACGUUAUUUUCAUUCAAAAUAAGCAUUUCCUUGGCAUGAAACAAGCACUACGAGGUCUCUGGAAUGCUAUUUCAACAAUCAACGUCGACUUUACAUUUGCCUUUAGUGUCCCUUUAACAACGUUGCUUGAAUCACGGUAAAUCUGUGCGACGAUCUUUCCAUGUUACGUUCAGUUGAUGGUCAGCCGUUGUUGGUUUCCCAGCACCAGCUGCCUGCUGAACUAACCUCAAGUGUGAGGAAUGGAAACGGCACCGACAUACUUGCUGUCGGCAUGUUGUCACUUGCAGAUUGUGUAUUGCGGUUUUGCCAUGCCGAUAGCCACUCACUUGCACUACCACCUUUUCAGUGCACCUUACACGAUUUCAUAAAAGCUCCGUUGUGCCUUUGUUGAAAUGUUGGCCUAGAAAUCUGAAACUUGGCUCUCUCAGUUUACUUUGACUUGGGAUUCAUGCCAUCUUGCUGUCGGGUUUCUGUCAACGCAGUGUUUCGGUUGCUUAUCCUCAGAAGGUCGCAAUACUGUUCAUGGUCAUCUGCGAUGAAAAUCUUUAGCUAAAUUCUUUACGAGUGAUGCCACCAAAGCAAUCUUGGCAGGGCCACAAUGUUGGUAAUAGUGCAGUAUAAUGGUAAUGUUUAAGUGUAGGUAAUGGAUAGGAAUGGUGUAGUAAUGCUAGCUGCCUUCGAACAGCGCCUAAACAGAUGAUGCGUGCACCUGGUUGUAGUCCAUAUGACAUAGGUGUGGCUGCAUUGAAAUCUUCCGUAUGACAUUCCACAAGGUCCGUAUGAUUUCCGUAUAUUUUAAAGUAUAUGCAGAUUCCUAAAAUUUCAUUAAAUGUCCAUAUUAAUUUUACGGACAACGUAUGGAAUUGGAAUGCGUACGGAAGGUUUCAAUGAGGAGGCAUGCCACCUCCAAGGUGUUUCAGCUCUGUUUAUCUCUGAGGUCAUAUGAAUGAGCCAUGCUUUUCAGGUCGCACAUUUGUUGUGUUACUUCCCUCAAUGGUAAUGACACCUCUGCGAUCCACUUGCAUUUCAAAUGUCAAACAUUGCAUGAAGACUCUUCUGUAUCUUCACUUUGAAACCAGGCUCUUGGUACGGUUUAAGAUUUUGCUACGUUUGGCAUUCAGUAGACUCCACCGGGAACGUUGGAACUGGCAACUGUCGAUGUCUGCAGUAAACCAUCUAUGUCGCUCGCAAGGCUUGGUGUGUGGUAGUGCUAACUCCGCCAGAAGUGGUGCGUGACAUGCCCGUGGCGCCAUUAGAGGGUCCAGAAGAGGGCCGACUGUCGGCUCGCUUGAAUUGGGAGAAGUGUGCACUUGAAAUGCUGAAGUUUAGGCUGGCACGUCAGAGUACUUAAAGUACUUAAGCUACUGCCGGCUGACUUCGCAUUAUUCGGGGCCAAGCACGCUAACCAAGUGCUAUGAUAAAGAGCUUAGCUCCUAGGGGCUGAUUUCCAUUCUGCAAAACCGUCUUUCUUAGAGAGCACUAAAAAAAAAAAUGCCUGUGCAUGCCUUCUCAACUAGUAUGGUUGAAAUCGGCUAGAAAUAACUCCAAAAUUCUGCAUUGAGACUAGCUUUACUGAAUCACUGCUUCUUUAACUAACGUUUCCUGAGCCAGUUUUAUACAGUAGUCUGGCCUAACGUAGUGUUUGCUUUUAGUGCCGCGUGAGGAAGUUUCAGAAUAGCCAUUUUGCUUCACGUUAAACGAAGGUCCAUCGAACACCAAGAACAACGCCGGCUAGUGUAGAAGCGUCCUGUAUAACUCAGUGUAACACUUUUUUAUGCAAACCAGAUUCACAUGGUACACACAAUUCGUGACAUAUUGAUUUGAUCGAUUAAUGUGUAUCGGUGCAACUGCCAUACUUGUGCAAAGCUGAAAGAAAUGUGCGCAGCAAUUUUGGUAAUACUUCGAUCGGAAAGAGUCAUCACACAUAGCUUUCCAUCUGCACAACGAGGUUCUGUGGCGUGGCGUGACGUUGCCGUAAUGUUGACAAGCAACAACAAAUUUAAUGUAAACUUAAAAUGUUUCGCGCUUCCUAGCCUCCGCAUUUACCGAGUCAAUCAUUUGUACGUGCAGGAAAUUUUAAAGCAUCUACAACUACAACUACGAAAAUGUGUAUGUUACCAUUCCUGUAAAUGCUCUCUGUAGCCAGACGUUGCAAGCUGCAAACUGGUGGCAGGCUGUGCCAGCUGUAUUGUGCGAGCAGUUUAGCUUUUUCCAAGCAUGGCAUUUCAAUAUCUCCAAUAGGGUUGGCACUAGCAUUUAGUAGCAUUAGCAUAUGUAGAAAAAAAAAGGCAUUUUGUACCGUUUAUACCUGCCUGCGCAGGUUUCAAAGCACGUUUUGAUAGGCCACAGUUUUUUUUCACCGUGAACCGUGUAGGUAGCGAUGCUCCUAUAUAAAAAAAAAACUUUUUCCGCGACUUGUAUAUGCGGAGUUCGUAAUGAGACGAUGCCGUAAAGGCAGUAGUGGCACUAAUGUGGAAGGAGAUUAUGAGGUCACAGUAUUACUGUUUAAUUUGGACUACUCGUCGAUAGAUUUCAGUUCAACGAGGUCUGCCUCUGUGUUUGGAGAACAUUAAUCAAAUGAUUAAUUAUAGUUGAAUGAAUUGAUGACAAAUGAAUUGAAUGGGCCUAGGAGCAAGAGAGAAAAUGCUAUUUGCUUAGCUUACGAUAAAACUUUCAUUUUAUUGAUAUUUAUGAAUGUGUGUAGCAACCUUUAGCGAUAUCUAUUCCUAGUGCUUCUGACGACACUAGCUCCUGAUUAGGACCACACGCCAGGUGUAAAAGAUCAGUAAAAUGCUACAAGAUGCUCGUAAUUAGAAAAAUGAGGCAGCAGACAGGCUCAUAAGCCGAUGAUACUUCAUAAAAGAGAGUUUUAAAUAUUUUGCUGCACAGGACCAUGCAGGUGACAAGAAUUCAGAUUACCUGACAGAGAGCUGUCUAAUUAUUGAUCCGAGCGUAAUUUGAGUUAGUUUCUGUUGAUCUGCAGACUGAACAAGUGCUUGGCGAGGUAGGCUGAUUGUAACAUGCGCCUUUUGUUUUUGUCUACAAGAGAAUGUCCGAAAAAUUUUUAUCCCAUACUCCCCCGCUGCAUUUGAUGCUAGUGCAUUUAGGGCAUUUGAAAUGUGUACCGGAGAAUGGACAGGGUCAUGACUUUUUUGUGAGCUAGAUAUCUCUAGUUAGUACUGCUCAUGGAACAUUGAAGCCCCAAAGAGUCUGCAAGACAUUUCAUUGUCAAGAGCUGUGCGCUUCACUAUAAGAGCAAGUGUGUACGUAAAAUAGUCGCAACGAUUGUUUUAUUGGAUUGUAAUUCUUUAGGACUCGCUUCACGACUGUAUGAACAUGCGGUUGGCACCUUUACGCAAGAGCUUGUAUCUGUGUGAAUGCGCAGUUUCCUUGGGCUUACCACAGUUUUUGUGGUCACGUCUGUUAGGACAUCCAGAAGUGUGCGCUUCUGGGGUUUAUGCAGCAGUGAAACAGGUGUCAUCACUGUUGACUUGUCGGUGCAAAAAUUGUUCUUGUCGAUGCACGGUUGUGCGUGGGAGAAAGGGAUCGUAAGAGUUGUAGCAAGUUAUGUGCGGUAUUGUUGCAAGGACUGUGCAUGACGUUGCAAAAGUGCGCUUAAAUUGCUGCGCGCAACAUAUGGAAAAUGUUCUCGACAGCCUAGCGUUGCGAAGCCGGCACUGUCUGCGUAGGCUGGAAGAUAUUCUGUGAGGAUGGCAGUUGCGGUCACUACGGUGUGCAAAAAAAGUUCCUGGAAAGAAUCUUGACGUUUGUUGAGAGCCGUUGCUGUUGUGGAAGUUUGCAAAGGUUCGGUUUUCAACACUGUCGCCGGGACGUCAACUGUUGUGUCGAUUUGUCGAUGGUGACAACGAGUUUUGGCUAUUCAGCGCGCGCUCGCUGCUGUUGAAGUGAAGGGUAUUUGUUGCAUGCAGUCGAAAGUCUAUUCCGCGUGAGAGAGGAAGGAUUAUCGUCGUUGUUGAGGCCGCAUUUUCGCCGCCGCUGUGAUUGACGAGUUCCCAGGUUUAUCCUCCAGAUUGAUGCAAGAAGUGAUGCACAAUAUGCUGUACAGAAUUGUGACGACGUGUGCCCAUAUUUUUGUUAGAAAGCAGGUGUUCGUGGCCGCUUUCGUUUGUUGCGUCUGCCUGUUCUGCGUUUUGCCGGUGCCCUCGCUCGAAUGGAAUUCCUCUCAGGUUCGUCUUUGUGGUGGAUGUGGAGGCUUGCUUCAUCCUAUUCCUUGGCUUACCGGAUGGUUAAGAUGAGCCCAAAUAAUUGAAACAUUGUAUGGCUCGCAGAAAGUGAUAAGAAUUUGUUUUGUGUUGUAGUUUGCUUGUAGUGUAAGCACUGAAAGUGGCAAAGGUUGAAAUGACAUAGCUCAGACAUGCCUGUUUGUCUUUUCACUUUUGAGAAUGAAUUCACUCUUGCAAGGUUUCAUGUGUACGCUUACGUUUCACGUGCACGUGGCAGCAUCUAUGCAUUGCAAAAUUCUUGGCACCAUGCUUAAGACAGCAUACCUGAUACUAUGUUAUCAAUGCCGUUGGCCAUAAAUGCCAGCCCAUUUGGUGUUGGGCCCGAUUCUCCUCACCGACAAAACACUGAAUCAGGGCAUCAGUGUCUGUCGUGAGACAGCAUUUUUUCACUAGAUUCUUCUAAACGGCAUGCCAGUGACAUUAGCCGAUGUUCUCAAUGUCCCCUGUGUCUCAUUUUCAAAGACAAAGCCGGGAUAAAACAUAGUAUAAUGUGACCGUGACGUGAUGCCAUCACGUCACGUUUUGUCAUGACAUCCGGCAUUUGACGUAUUGUAAAUUGGGACUCAGGCUUGUUGAAGCAAUCGUGUUUGUGAAUGUAAACAAACGAGCAUGUUACCCAAGGAGUAGAAGUGAUAAUGUUCCAUAAGACGAGCGAGGAUACUUACUCGGAUUUACCGAACCUCUGCACUUGUUAUGACAACCCUCAUUCCAAACGAAGGAACAUACUUUCAGCGGUAGCAGACUUGUAGCUUGACUAGGAGUUCCGUUAGAGCGAAGGUAACAGUGCCGGGCAUUUCGAAUGCUUCGGGUGUAUUUGAAAAGAUCUCGACUUGUUGAGGAGAUGGCUCGACCGGUAGAGUGUGCCACCAAAGUACCACUGUACAUAGCAUGCUAGAGAAGUAGCCUAUCUAUCUGUUGAAUGUUUAGUGGCUCGUAUAUUUUUCGCUUGUUACUUGUUUCUUGCGAGGGAGGCCCAACUCCAAGCUGUGCGUACUCCAUACGAAAUACGUCGGUUCUUGUGAGCUGUACAUUGCAUCUGUCAUGGUCACGUUGUAGUCAGACGUGUGUACCAGUGUGUGUGAGGAGGCUGUGUCGAGUUGCAUUUCACGAUUGCGAGCAUUUAUGCAGAGCAGAGCGUUUUACGUUGCUUAGCCCGAACCCCACUUCACAUGAGAAGGAAAAUGCCUUAGUUCAUAAUCCUUACCUGGGCAUUGUGGGUUUGAACUUCUGUGACCUUUUCAAAGCAUGAUAGGCUGGUCAAAGAAAAGGCUAAUUUGCAAUUUUAAUUGCGUGAUUUUCAGCGAGAUUGUUUUGAAGGGCAGGACCGAGGCUCUCUAGAAGCAUGUCUACAUUGCCACUCAAGAAAACAAACUCAUGCAGUCGUUUUGUCUGUGGUAAUGCUGUAAAUUGCCUUUGGUACCAAAUUAGUGCAUUCAUCUUUGUAUUGGCUGAGCACGAUGCUCAGUGGAUUUUAUGAAGUGGGAAGCACUAACAAUCGAGAUUUGAGACAUACAAGGAACACUGUGAUAUGCUUGUUGGAAAACUGAAUCGACUGCCUGUAUCACAGAAACUACUUACUCUAGGGUUAAAGCAUUACAAAGACGAGUAGGACUACAAAAGUACACCAUAGCUUAUGUAUUACAGGCUACUAACAAACAAAACAGCAUUACACAAUAUGCGGAAGCGAUAGGGGCUGGACGGCCGUUCUGGUCAGGGCUUGGUUUUGAGACAAAUUAAGUUUCAUGCUGGCAUGCUCCUGGGAACAUUGAUCUUGGGUUGAGGAUCACCACUAGAUGUAAACUAUAGUGAACAGCACAUUGAUCGAAUGGGCGAGAUUUUCUUAAAGGAAUUGGUUGCCAUGACAUCUCGUCCCCACUCUCGCCUCUUAGCUUUGAGCUUGCCCGUGCCAAUGCUUUGUGAGUGGAACAGUGAAAUAUUCCAGGUUCGUUUGAAGGACGGCCAUGGGUUUUUCGUUUUUCAACGUGGAAGCCGGGGUUCGGGCAGAGGUUCUUGCUUCAGGAGGUCACGGAGCGGUCCCUCACGAGCUUUACAAGUUCCGCACGGCCAAAGGAAAAAAAUUAUCUUGGAAGCGCGAGAUGGCGUUGACAUUUUGCGUCACGCAAUGUGAUCCGAGAGUCAAUGGCGUGGCCCGCUUUUGCUGCGAGUUUUUCGGGUGGUGUCCCCUCCGUUGCCGUUCCUCGAGUGGAGAUGUACGCGUAGUCGUAGCGGUUGUCGGCUUGUGCAUAUCGCCUGUUUAGUGUGUGUCUAACUCACAUGUCAGAGCUAUGCAAGUCCACAAACCGCGCACACACUUUUCCUGGGGGUGCUGAAAACGCUUCAGCCUGUCGCAUCCCCCCCCCCCACCCUCCCAACCACUUCUACCUUACAAGGUCGAUUCCCCCCUGUAGAGAGAGAAACUGUGAUGUUUUUUUUUUUCGUCUCCUGCUCUGAUCUUUGAUCUGUAGAAACCGGUUCUGCUUUUUGUUAAAAAAAAAAAAAACGCGCUUGUAAAUAGUCUGACCUCAUUACAGCAAAGUCGUAUCCAGCACAAAAAUACCUUUGUUACGUCCGACUCUGUCUUCUGAACUCAUCAAACAUGGAUAUAGCGAAGUUUCGGAUAUUACGAAUUUCCGGAUAUAACGAAUUCUACAAGUGUUGCUGUUUGAUGUGAACACGUGAUGAAUACAGGCUUAUACUGGAAGUCUGGUAUACCAAAGGUAUUGGUGUGUCUGAUGCGAUUUUGUGAUGGGGUUAUAAUUAUAAUACAUUCAUUGAAGUCCGACAUUAGCGAUAAGGAUUUCAGAUCUACUUUUCUUAUAUCCAUGUUCUUUCGUUCUUCGUUAACCUACUACUAUCUUUCCACCAACUGUCGAUAUCUCAAACAACCCAAGUGUCAGCCCAACGUUUGAUCUUGCAUAAGCACAGUUCACCUUAUGCCUCACUCUUUGAGGCUUGGGUCGACUUCUCAAUCACCAUUUCUGCAUUUAAUGCAGCUUUUUUUUCUUUUUUAUGGAAACACUUUUGUAAAAGCAUUUGUGAAACUGGCACAGAUAACGCACCAGAAAAUGUUAUACUAUAUUAUCUGUUGUUCUUAAUUUUUUUUUUACAACACUUAAUUGGCAUGAGGAGACAUCACAUUGCAUGUACUGCUAAUCUAUUGGCUCCUCUAAAAAAAAAAUGAAGAAAGAAAGCUGUUUGGAAUACUCACAACUUCAUUUUGGUCACCUUGAUAUUGGUAUCGUCUUCGCACUGCACGAUGUAUUUUGUCUACAGGUUGUUUUCAUGUCUCAAGUGAUUAUAGAUCGAUUAUCCUAGCAGUUUGCUUUGCAAGUGUAAUUUUGCAUUUUACGGAGUAGUCAGAGUGCCAGUUUUCAAGCAUUUCGGCGUUGCAUCACUGCAAGCCAGGUUUUCCAUUUUUGACAGAGUCAUCACUGUUUGUGCUCUGUGUUCAAUGUUUGUGGACGAGGUCAAAUCGAUUGACAUUAGCGAAAUAUUACUAAUGGCUCUAUGAGUCGCCCAGCUUUUUUUCUCUGUUUAUUUUCCGAAUGGAAAAAAGACCAAUGUUGUCAAAGUCGGUGUGUGUGUACUUUCUUUUCUUCUUCCUUGAUGCACGUAGUGUGUUCUCUCAAUGCAUGUGCACCUAAUGUAUCACUUAUUUUGUACAUAAAACCAUGUGGGUAGUCAGUGUAUAUCUUUGGUUCACAAUUUACAGCUGUCAUUGAUCAUGUAUGCAUGCAUGUACGGAGUGAAAAAAGUGCAAGUCAUGUUUUGGCUCUACUUUCGCGUGUGUGUUUUUCUCUUACUGGCAGAAUUUGGUAGUUUGUCCACACUGACCAGGGUUGCCAUUCUGCACACUGGCGAAUUCCGCCAUGUUGCCAGAUGCGCCAUCUUGUCAGCUCCGAUUGGCUGAGAGGGCUGCUACGUCCUUUCUGACUAGUUUAAAAUGUCGCCAUUACAGAAUUUGACAAUAUGGCAGAAUUCAACAUUGCCAAGAAUAGUACCCUUGUUCUCUUUUUCCAUUCUUUUUCACACAAGACAGAUAUAUUAUGCAAUAGCUUUUGUUUAGUUUUUUUUCUCUGUACAGCAACAUUUAUUUUGAUUUGAAAGUUAUACAGAAAUAUUCACGCACAGUUGCACAACACUCAAAACACAGUUUCUCCGGUUAACACGGUUCCUCUUUUUUUUCUUACAUGUGGUAAUUAAGUUGGGUGCCGAGUGCUCAUCGGACUUGCCACUGGAAAAAGAAGAAAAGAAAAACAAAUAAAAUAUGUCUGGUCAGUAUUUGAAA